CUUCCAGAAAACAACGCGUACAGCUUCGGACGCACCACGAUAGCCAACCUGAAGUCUGGGACGAACCUGCUGUGGCUGCACACGUCGUUUGCCUUCAUGUAUCUGCUGCUGACCGUCUACAGCAUGAGGAGACACACGUCCAAGAUGCACUACAAGGAGGACGACCUGGUGAAGCGCACUUUAUUCAUCAACGGCAUCUCGAAAUACGCCGAGGAGAGUCAGAUCAAACAGCACUUUGA